AACAUUGCUCAUAAAAAAUGACCAGCCUUUUAGGGUAGCGUUCAAGCAGAACCCGUGUUUGCGAUAGAAACGCAAGAGACAGGGCAGUGAAAUGAGAGGAAAAGCAAGGCCUAGAGUUGAGUUUUUUUAGAAGGUGUCUUUUAAUUUGAGUACCGCUUGUGGCUUCUUUUUCCAUUAUAGUGCUAUAAAAUUGGGAUUAGAAUUCUAGAAAUGCGCAUAAGAGUGUGGACGGCAUGCAGCGUGAUCUGUAGAGAAACAUGCACUGGAGCGAGACACCAUGAGGAUCACCACAUUGUUUAGAAAGGAGCUUUUGAAGUGAACGGAGAAAGGAGCACUGACUGUAGCAAAUUACCUGGGCUGAAACAUUUUUGACAUAAGUCCUAAGAGGCGGGUGAGCCACUUCUCCCUGGAGGCCCCAUCGGGAGCGUUUAAUCUCAGGCCAUGAGACGCAGCAUUGCUGACAGACUGACAGGACAGCUGGACACGCUUCCAGGCGGCAGUGACGGACACGCCAGUCUUCGGAGCAGGGCCACUGCCCAUGCAUCACCACAAAGCACCAUGAUGAUGGCAGCAGGGGGCAGCUGAAAGGGCUCGGAGUUGGCAGAGAUGCAGCAUGGGUUGACAGGCAGGCACUCGCUGGUGACAGAGCACCGGAGCUUCUGUCUCUUUGAAGUUUCUUCUCUGUAAGCAUUUCUA